UCAAACAUGGUGUAGUGGGAACACAGCCUCCUUUCAUGUUCAACAUGAGUCCAGUUUCAGAGGCAGUCCAGGGUUUGAAUCCCUGUGUCUGAA